ensembl:lncRNA
GAAAGAACGUGAUUUUCUCCGUGCUCAAGUCCAGGGGGGGAUAAAGAAGACCUCAAACCAUCCCAGAAUGUCGAAGCUGACAGUCGAUGAUCAGGAUGAUGAUACCGACAUGGAAGAUAAAGAUGACCUUCCCCCAUCCUCCACAAAUAUUAGCGACACUUCAGACAGCGACACUCCAAGACACAAGCCUCAUCUGCCCCGGUCAUCUCCAGGGGCCACUGGGAGAGCUCAUAUGAGAGUCAAAGGGCCAGAUGAGGCAAUCCGGAGAUACAAUAAAGUGCUGAAAACAUUCAGCCAUGUCCGCACCAUGACGGAGGCCUUCCGAAUCAACGGAGUGGACAGGGGCACCAUUAAGAUGACAGCCCCCAUUGCUGAGCU